CUGGAUGUAGCUCAACCUGGUAGAGCUACCGGCUUGGGUCCGGUAGAUCCGAGUUCGAAUCUCGGCAUUCAGA
rnacentral:tRNA from 1 species